rnacentral:rRNA from 1 species
CUUGAUGACCAUCGAACCACCUUCACUUCAUCCAGUCUCAUCUGAUUUCAGAAGCUGAGCAAGGUUGGGCUUGAUUAGCCCUUGGAUGGGAGACCACAAGAGAAUACCAGGGAUCUUAAGGU